rnacentral:rRNA from 1 species
GAUUGAACGCUGGCGGCAGGCCUACCACAUGCAAGUCGAGCGGAUGAAGGGAGCUUGCUCCUGGAUUCAGCGGCGGACGGGUGAGUAAUGCCUAGGAAUCUGCCUGGUAGUGGGGGAUAACGUCCGGAAACGGGCGCUAAUACCGCAUACGUCCUGAGGGAGAAAGUGGGGGAUCUUCGGACCUCACGCUAUCAGAUGAGCCUAGGUCGGAUUAGCUAGUUGGUGGGGUAAAGGCCUACCAAGGCGACGAUCCGUAACUGGUCUGAGAGGAUGAUCAGUCACACUGGAACUGAGACACGGUCCAGACUCCUACGGGAGGCAGCAGUGGGGAAUAUUGGACAAUGGGCGAAAGCCUGAUCCAGCCAUGCCGCGUGUGUGAAGAAGGUCUUCGGAUUGUAAAGCACUUUAAGUUGGGAGGAAGGGCAGUAAGUUAAUACCUUGCUGUUUUGACGUUACCAACAGAACAAGCACCGGCUAACUUCGUG